rnacentral:tRNA from 1 species
AAGGGUAUAGCUCAAGUGGUAGAGCGCAUGCUUAGCAUGCACAAGGCUCUGGGUUCAAUCCCCAGUAUCUCCU